CCUACGGGGGGCAGCAGUGGGGAAUAUUGGGCAAUGGGCGCAAGCCUGACCCAGCAACGCCGCGUGAAGGAAGAAGGCUUUCGGGUUGUAAACUUCUUUUGACAGGGAAGAGUAGAAGACGGUACCUGUCGAAUAAGCCACGGCUAACUACGUGCCAGCAGCCGCGGUAAUACGUAGGUGGCAAGCGUUGUCCGGAUUUACUGGGUGUAAAGGGCGUGUAGCCGGGUUGACAAGUCAGAUGUGAAAUCCUGCGGCUUAACCGCAGAACUGCAUUUGAAACUGUUGAUCUUGAGUACUGGAGAGGC
rnacentral:rRNA from 1 species